rnacentral:rRNA from 1 species
UGAUCCAGAGUACCACGGGACACGUGAAACCCUGUGGGAAGCAGGAGGGACCACCCUCCAAGGCUAAAUACUACCUAGUGAACGAUAGCGUAUAGUACCGUGAGGGAAAGGUGAAAAGAACCCCGGGCGGGGAGUGAAAUAGAACCUGAAACCCUGCACUUACAAGCUGUGGAAGCACAUUUCUUGUGUGACCGCGUACUUUUUGUAGAACGGUCCAACGAGUUACGUUAAUUAGCA